GCAUUAUUUGUUCGACAAGUUCUGUACUUACUUUUGAUGCACCACCUUAAACAGAAUCUGAUUUUAAUCAUGACAUGUUAUGUUGACUGUCAAGCAGUAAUUAUUCUCAUCAUUAAUAAGCAACUCAGAUUAUUUUAAGUAGCAAUUGCCGCCAUUAAGCCCAUUAAACAAUUGAUCUUCUAGUGUUAUCUCUGCCCUUGCCUAAUCAUCAGCAUAAUCUACCCUAAAAUGCAUGUAUGCGUGGAGUUUUCCUCUGCAGGUCAUUCAACUGUUGAAAAACAAUAUGCGGGCCAUAGCCAACUGGGUGUAGAAAUUCCAACCACAAAGGAAAAGAAAAUGAAGAAACGAUGUGAACUGGAUAGAUCGUGACUGAAUCAAUCAGUGUGCAGCCCUCUCCUCAAAAAUGUAUACCGGCAAUCAUCAUAAACAGAGAAAAAUAGUUUCCCUUUUGAACAGAAAACAUAAUGUGGCCCCCGUGCUAAGCAACACUGGUAGAGCAAUCAA